UGUAUUCAUUAUAUCACUCGCAUUUCAAACACAGAACAGUUACGCAUUUUACUACGACAAGGAGUGGUUGGUUACUACACAAACAGACCAGAGACACGCAGAGAGUCAAGAGGUAAUGAAGAGUAUUCAUUUAGACACACAGAGAGACAAGAGAUAAUGAAGAGUAUUCAUUUAAACACACAGAGAGACUAGAGGUAAUGAAGAGUAUUCCUUUAAACACACAGAGUGACUAGAGAUAAUGAAGAGUAUUCAUUUAUACACACAGAGAGACUAGAGGUAAUGAAGAGUAUUCAUUUAAACACACAGAGAGACAAGAGAUAAUGAAGAGUAUUCAUUUAAACACACAGAGAGACUAGAGGUAAUGAAGAGUAUUCCUUUAAACACACAGAGUGACUAGAGGUAAUGAAGAGUAUUCAUUUAAACACACAGAGAGACAAGAGAUAAUGAAGAGUAUUCAUUUAAACACACAGAGAGACUAGAGAUAAUGAAGAGUAUUCAUUUAAACACAGAGAGACUAGAGAUAAUGAAGAGUAUUCAUUUAAACACACAGAGACAGACUGGAGGACAGAAGAGAUAAGGGUAUUCAGAAUGGCACAGAUCCCUCUCUCUCUCUCUCACACACACACACACACA